rnacentral:rRNA from 1 species
CCUACGGGAGGCAGCAGUGAGGAAUAUUGGUCAAUGGACGAGAGUCUGAACCAGCCAAGUAGCGUGAAGGAUGACUGCCCUAUGGGUUGUAAACUUCUUUUAUAUGGGAAUAAAACGUUCCACGUGUGGGAUUUUGUAUGUACCAUAUGAAUAAGGAUCGGCUAACUCCGUGCCAGCAGCCGCGGUAAUACGGAGGAUCCGAGCGUUAUCCGGAUUUAUUGGGUUUAAAGGGAGCGUAGGUGGAUUGUUAAGUCAGUUGUGAAAGUUUGCGGCUCAACCGUAAAAUUGCAGUUGAAACUGGCAGUCUUGAGUGCAGUAGAGGUGGGCGGAAUUCGUGGUGGAGCGGUGAAAUGCUUAGAUAUCACGAAGAACUCCGAUUGCGAAGGCAGUUCACUGGACUGCAACUGACACUGAGGCUCGAAAGUGUGGGUAUCAAACAGGAUUAGAUACCCCAGUAGUC